UAAUGCUUGACAGAUAGUAGGGCCUCAGUAAAUAUUUUUUGAAUGAAUGAAUGAUCCCUGGACCUGUCUCGGAAAGGGUCAAUACGUACUGAUGUGCAUCUGCCUUCCUGACAUUUAAGCUAACGUUUCCCCUCCUUCCUGCAGGUCUGAACAUCAACACGCAUGGCUUUUCCAGACUGACAUGGGGUAGAAAGGAGCCCACCUCAUUCCCAUGUAUUUCACACUACUUAUAUUUGGCCUCAAUACCAUCUGGGUGUUAAAUUCACACUGUUUUGCAGAUACUGAAACUCCGAUCAAGUGGAAGAAGCUAACUGUAUGCUGAUUACUGGCACACAGACCCCAGACUCGUUGGAACCAGAAGGUUGAUGAUGUUAACUCCUGGUUACCUCACCACCAACCAAUCAGAAGAAUGUCCAUGAACUGAGCACACAGUCUACAACCCCCCUCCCUCCCCUGUCUCCAAAAACCUUUCUCUAGAAGCCUUUGAGGAGUUCGGGUCUUUUGAGCACUAGAUGCCUAGACUCCUUGCUGGGCGCCCCGCAAUAAACGCUGCACUUCUCUCUACCACAA